rnacentral:tRNA from 1 species
GCGGCGCUAGCUCAACUGGCAGAGCAACGGACUCUUAAUCCGUAGGUUCGGGGUUCAAGUCCCUGGCGCCGCA